CGGACAUAUUACAUUGAAACAUCGGUUCUCGUACGGUCUCUGAAGUUAAGCAACGUCGAGCAUUGUCAGUACCUAGAUAGGUGUCCGCUUGAGAAUACUAGCUGCUGUAAG